rnacentral:misc_RNA from 1 species
UCCGGCUUGUCACCGGCAGUUUCUCCAAAGUGCCCAGCAUUACCUGAUGGCAACUGGAGACGAGGGUUGCGCUCGUUGCGGGACUUAACCCAACAUCUCACGACACGAGCUGACGACAGCCAUGCAGCACCUGUGUUCCGAUUCCCUUUCGGGCACUCCCACCUUUCAGCAGGAUUCCGGACAUGUCAAGGGUAGGUAAGGUUGUUCGCGUUGCAUCGAAUUAAUCCACAUCAUCCACCGCUUGUGCGGGUCCCCGUCAAUUCCUUUGAGUUUUAAUCUUGCGACCGUACUCCCCAGGCGGUCAACUUCACGCGUUAGCUGCGGUACCAAGAACUUGCGCUCCCAACACCUAGUUGACAUCGUUUAGGGCGUGGACUAC